GCCGGCGUAGCUCAGUCGGUAGAGCAACGCAUUCGUAAUGCGUGGGUCGGGGGUUCGAAUCCCUCCGCCGGCACCA
rnacentral:tRNA from 1 species